rnacentral:tRNA from 1 species
GGGUGUGGCUCAGAGGUAGAGCACAUGCUUAGUGUGCAUGGGCCCUGGGUUUGAUUUCCAGAAACCCC